GGGUGUAGGUGGACGGAGUCUGAAAAGACAGUCAGCAAAGGGAGAUAGGGGUGGGGCCGUUUUAUAAGAUUUGGGUACGUAAAGGAAAAUUACAGUCAAAGGGGGUUGUUCUCUGGCUGGCAAGGGUGGGGGUCACAAGGUGCUCAGUGGGGGAGCUUUUGAGCCAGGAUGAGCCAGGAGAAGGAAUUUCACAAGGUAAUGUCAUCAGUUAAGGCAGGGACUGGCCAUUUUCACUUCUUUUGUGGUGGAAUGUAAUCAGUUAAGGCAGGAACAGGCCAUUUUCACUUCUUUUGUGAUUCUUCAGUUACUUCAGGCCAUCUGGAUGUAUACCUGCAGGUCACAGGGGAUAUGAUGGCUUAGCUUGGGCUCAGAGGCUGGACAGGUUUAUUCAAAAUUAUGAGGGAUUCAUUUAAUAUCUGAAUUGUUCAAGAUAAUGAUUGGUGUGACAAUGAGUGACCAAAUUUCUCAAAGUAAGAUGAAUUUUCCUGCAAGGAUGAAAGCUUGGAAUAUGGCUUCUGACCAAGUAAGAGGAAAUCAGAUGACGGACGUGGAGGGACCCACUCCCUCUACAGAAAAAGUAACAGUGAUUCUUCAUCAGGCUUGAAUCUGAUGUAUGUUUGACUUCAGUCAAAAAUGUAUUUGUCCUGGCAAGAG
rnacentral:lncRNA from 1 species